GAGGGUGUAGCUCAGUGGUAGAGAGUGUGCUUAACAUGCAUGAGGUCCUGGGUUCAAUCCCCAGUACCUCCA
rnacentral:tRNA from 1 species